rnacentral:tRNA from 1 species
UCCCUGGUGGCCUGGUGGCUAAGACUGCACUCCCAAUGCAGGGGGCCUGGGUUUGAUUCCUGGUCAGGGAA